CCUACGGGUGGCAGCAGUGAGGAAUAUUGGUCAAUGGGCGCAAGCCUGAACCAGCCAAGUCGCGUGAGGGAAGACUGCCCUAUGGGUUGUAAACCUCUUUUAUAAGGGAAGAAUAAUGACCACGUGUACCCAGAUGCCCGUACCUUAUGAAUAAGCAUCGGCUAACUCCGUGCCAGCAGCCGCGGUAAUACGGAGGAUUCGAGCGUUAUCCGGAUUUAUUGGGUUAAAAGGGUGCGUAGGCGGUUUUUUAAGUUAGUGGUAAAACGUCGGGGCUUCACCGUGAUUGGCCAUUUAAACUGGAGUACUAGAGUACAGACGGGGUAGGCGGAAUAAGUUGAGUAGCGGUGAAAUGCUUAGAUAU
rnacentral:rRNA from 1 species